rnacentral:misc_RNA from 1 species
GUUUUUCUUUUCUUUUCUUUUUUUCUCCUGUAAUAAUAAUCGUUUGAUGACUCAAUUUCUCUGAUAAUAUUGGGCGAAUUAUCUGACAAGACCGUUAUGUACUAAUAAGGAAAAUUUUAAAGCUAGCUCUGGGCUGUCUAGCUCCUAGUUUAUGGAAAUGAAAGUUCAUGCCUAGCUGCUAUUUAUUGCUGAUUCCUCUUGAGGCAUAUAUGCUUGAGUAUUAAUGCAGCUAUCUAAUUUUUCAUUAGCUUGUAAAUGGCAUUCUUCCGGGCAUUUUGGAAUAGUCCUAUUGGUCCUAAAACAACUCAUUUUUGGGGUCCUGUUUUCAACUGGAGCAUCCCAAUUGCAGCAUUUGUUGACACAAAGAAACCCCCAGAAAUGAUAUCUGGCAACAUGACGGCAGUAAUGUGUGUUUAUUCAGCAAUGUUCAUGAGAUUUGCUUGGAUGGUACAGCCUCGAAACUUGCAUCUUCUUGUAUGCCAUGUCUCCAAUGAAACAGUGCAGCUUUAUCAGCUUUCGCGUUGGAUAAAGGCUAGAGGAUCCUUGCAGCAGGAGAAAGAGGAACAAGCUAAAGGACAGUGAUCCACAGAUUAUCUGUUAUAAUUUAUGCUAUCUUUUUUCACUUGUUCUGAUAAUGUAAAACUAUACUUCUUUUUCUUUGGGAUUUUUUUUUUUUUAAUUCCAAUCAAGCAAUGAAAAGUUUAUUGGAAUUUCUCUCUUAUUAAUGUGUUUUCAUGAGCAUUUAAUUUGGUGUGAUAGUGAGGAGGAUAGAAAAUGGUUUAUGGAAGCUAUGCAAGCGCAGAGUGUUGAUGUCAUUAAACGUAUGAAGGAGAUAACCCUUGUCAUGCAAACCCCAGAGCAGGUCUUGGAGGCUCAAAGAGUUACUCCUGCUGAUAUUGAAGAUAUGCUGGAGGAACUUCAAGAGCAUGUCGAGUCUAUUGACAUGGCUAAUGGUAAGCUUUCCAGUUUUAAUUUAGUUACUAGAUGAAAGUUGCUCUUAUCUCUGUCGUUCCUCUUGCUGUUGUAAUGAGUUGUAAUGUAUGUCGCAGUUUAAAACUUUAUGGUUCACCAUGCUGUUUGUAAGUUUGAGGAGUUUUUGUUUGAAACAUUAUGGUAUCCUUUAAGCCUAGCAGCAAGACGUCAGUGUACUCGUGGAGGAUCCAUUCCUUCUAAACUCUGUUCCUAUCUUUACUUACCUUCAAAAUUGGCUUAUCAAUUUGUCACUGAAUGUCACUGUUUCAUUUAAUAAAAAGAAGAGUUUUUCUUAGUUUUUUUUCCUAAUUAUGCUUAUGUGACAGAUCUUCAUUCUAUUGGUGGUCUGGUUCCUCUCCUUGGUUAUCUGAAGAACUCCCAUGCCAACAUUCGGGCAAAGGCUGCAGACGUUGUAACCACCAUUGUCCAGAAUAAUCCCCGUAGUCAGCAAUUGGUUAUGGAAGCAAAUGGCUUAGAACCUCUUCUUUCUAAUUUCACAUCAGACCCAGAUGUGACUGUUCGGACCAAAGCACUCGGGGCAAUUUCCUGUAAGUGCUGCUUUUAGCUUUAUAUUGAUUAUGGUUGUUGUGCACUGGUUAUGUUUUCCCUGCAUUCGUGGCUUGGAACUUUGGAAAGAUAUUAAAGUGAGUUAUUUGUUGAUAAUUCCCAGCUUUAAUUCGUCACAACAAGCUAGGUAUUACUGCAUUUCGUCUUGCAAACGGUUAUGCGGGCUUGAGAGAUGCUUUAGGUUCUGAAAGUGUGAGAUUCCAAAGGUACUCCUGGAUUAAUAUUUAGUUAUGCUGUCAUUGUUGUUCUUGUUUGAUGGCAAUCAUAUGGUUCUAGUUACUGGAAAACAAAAGAGAAGAACUUCUUAUGGUUUGACUGAAAAGGUUCUUGUGAUAAGAAACUACAAGCAUAUUGAUGGUGGUGAUCUAGUUUUACCACUGUAAUGAUAUUCAAUUAAUUUUCUGAUAUAAUCAAUUUUUUUGUUUUUUAAUUUUAGGAAAGCUCUCAACUUGAUCCAUUACCUACUGCAUGAGAAUAGUUCGGAUUGCAGUGUAGUGAGUGAGCUAGGGUUCCCACGCAUGUUGUUGCACCUUGCAUCAAGUGAAGAUGCUGAGGUGCGAGAGGCUGCACUUCGGGGCCUUCUUGAGCUUGCUCGAGAUAAGAAAGGUGCAAAUGAUGGCGGAUUAGGGGAAGAAGAUGAGAAACUAAAGCAACUGCUUGAAGAACGGAUCAAGGGUAUCAGCUUGAUGUCAUCUGAAGAUCUCGAGGCAGCUAGAGAGGAGAGGCAACUGGUAGACUCACUCUGGAAUGCCCACUGCAAUGAACCAUCAUCUCUGCGUGAAAAGGGGCUUCUUGUUCUCCCUGGAGAAGAUUCCUUACCACCUGAUGUUGCCAGCAAGCAUUUUGAACCUCCUCUCAGAGCUUGGGCUGCAAAUCAGUCCACAGAUGGCAAUUCCAGUACUGAAAAGAAACAAAUUCCUCUAUUACUAGGAUCGGGUCCCCCACCAGAAGCUGCAAAUGCUCAGGGAACUUCAAGCGCUGAGGUCAAUAUUGAUGAGCAGAACAGUGCCUCAAGAUAAAUCACUAAUGUUGCUCGGGCGUUCUAUUCGCCUACGGUAGUCAUGUAUUUCCGUGUUAUCGUACUGUAGUAUCAUAGAUUUCCAAGUGGCUUCUUUUAGUUUUGGGCUCUUUUUUCCCACUUCUUUUGUACCCAUUUGAAAAUGAUGUCAUGAAUGGUUUUUGUUACCUUAAAUUAACAUGCCUUUAUGAUGUGGAGUAACAAAGAACAAUCAAAAGGGAUAGGUCUCGGACAGGAUUAGAUUCGGCUUGAGUUAAACCCGCAACCAGAGUUUAAGCAUCUUCUCCCAACUCUAAAUCGAAAUUGAAUUGAGAUCGGUUUUACGGAAAAAUUAUUACUUA